rnacentral:rRNA from 1 species
CCUACGGGUGGCAGCAGUGAGGAAUAUUGGUCAAUGGACGAGAGUCUGAACCAGCCAAGUCGCGUGAAGGAUGAAUGUACAGUGGAUUGUAAACUUCUUUUAUCAAGGAAUAAAAGGAGGCACGUGUCCCUUGUUGAGUGUACUUGAUGAAUAAGCAUCGGCUAACUCCGUGCCAGCAGCCGCGGUAAUACGGAGGAUCCGAGCGUUAUCCGGAUUUAUUGGGUUUAAAGGGAGCGUAGAUGGGUUGUUAAGUCAGUGGUGAAAGUUUGCGGCUCAACCGUAAAAUUGCAUUUGAUACUGGCAGUCUUGAGUACAGUUGAGGUAGGCGGAAUGCGUGGUGUAGCGGUGAAAUGCUUAGAUAUCACGAAGAACCCCGAUUGCGAAGGCAGCUUACUAACCUGUGACUGACAUUGAUGCUCGAAAGUGUGGGUAUCAAACAGGAUUAGAUACCCGUGUAGUC